UGGGGAAUUUUGGACAAUGGGCGCAAGCCUGAUCCAGCAAUGCCGCGUGCAGGAUGAAGGCCUUCGGGUUGUAAACUGCUUUUGUACGGAGCGAAAAGGUCUGCCCUAAUACGGUGGGCUCAUGACGGUACCGUAAGAAUAAGCACCGGCUAACUACGUGCCAGCAGCCGCGGUAAUACGUAGGGUGCGAGCGUUAAUCGGAAUUACUGGGCGUAAAGCGUGCGCAGGCGGUUGUGUAAGACAGGUGUGAAAUCCCCGGGCUUAACCUGGGAACUGCGCUUGUGACUGCACGGCUAGAGUAUGGCAGAGGGGAGUGGAAUUCCGCGUGUAGCAGUGAAAUGCGUAGAUAUGCGGAGGAACACCGAUGGCGAAGGCAAUCCCCUGGACCUGUACUGACGCUCAUGCACGAAAGCGUGGGGAGCAAACA
rnacentral:rRNA from 1 species